rnacentral:rRNA from 1 species
UACGUAGGGGGCAAGCGUUGUCCGGAUUUAUUGGGCGUAAAGAGCGUGUAGGCGGCUUGGUAGGUCCGCUGUGAAAACUCGAGGCUCAACCUCGAGACGCCGGUGGAAACCAUCAGGCUAGAGUCCGGAAGAGGAGAGUGGAAUUCCUGGUGUAGCGGUGAAAUGCGCAGAUAUCAGGAGGAACACCAAUGGCGAAGGCAGCUCGCUGGGACGUGACUGACGCUGAGACGCGAAAGCGUGGGGAGCAAACAGG